AGUAACCGGUGCACUUUUUUCGGAAGUGGGGUGAGGGGGCCUCUCCGAGGAAAAUUAACUCACUAAGACGCGACCGGCUGCAGGCGCGGAACUCCAGGUUUUCCAGGUUUUGCUUAUAAAUCAAGACAAGGCAGUAGAGUCAUGGAAGAAGUCAGAAGAAAACAGAAAAAAAAAGCUUGCCUGCCCUGAUCACUAUGGACGCCGGUUUGAGUCCUGGGCUGCACCACUCUGAUCCAGCUCUCUGCUAUGGCCUGGGGAAGCAGUGGAAGAUGGCCCAAGUCUUUGGGGCGGUGUGCCUGCGUGGGGGACCCUGGAGAAGCUCCAGCCUCCUAGUUUUGGAUCUGUGCAGCUCUGGUUGUUGCGGCCA